rnacentral:rRNA from 1 species
CUGGCCUUAAACCUCAAUAGUUAGAACAACAAAACUAUUCGCCAGAAUACUACAAGCAACAGCUUAAAACUCAAAGGACUUGGCGGUGCUUCAUACCCCCUAGAGGAGCCUGUUCCAUAAUCGAUAAACCCCGAUCCACCCCACCCUCUCUUGCCCAGUCUAUAUACCGCCAUCUUCAGCAAACCCUGAUAAAGGCUACGAAGUGAGCGCAAAUGCCCUUACCCGCAAAGACGUUAGGUCAAGGUGUAACCCAUGAGACGGUAAAAAUGGGCUACAUUUUCUACCUCAGAAAACCCCACGAUAACUCUUAUGAAAUCUAAGAGUCCAAGGAGGAUUUAGCAGUAAAUUAAGAAUAGAGUGCUUAAUUGAACUAGGCCAUAAAGCACGC